UUGAACGCUGGCGGCAGGCCUAACACAUGCAAGUCGAGCGGAUGAAGGGAGCUUGCUCCUGGAUUCAGCGGCGGACGGGUGAGUAAUGCCUAGGAAUCUGCCUGGUAGUGGGGGAUAACGUCCGGAAACGGGCGCUAAUACCGCAUACGUCCUGAGGGAGAAAGUGGGGGAUCUUCGGACCUCACGCUAUCAGAUGAGCCUAGGUCGGAUUAGCUAGUUGGUGGGGUAAAGGCCUACCAAGGCGACGAUCCGUAACUGGUCUGAGAGGAUGAUCAGUCACCCUGGAACUUGGACACGGUCCAGACUCCUAAGGGAGGCAGCAGUGGGGAAUAUUGGACAAUGGGCGAAAGCCUGAUCCAGCCAUGCCGCGUGUGUGAAGAAGGUCUUCGGAUUGUAAAGCACUUUAAGUUGGGAGGAAGGGCAGUAAGUUAAUACCUUGCUGUUUUGACGUUACCAACAGAAUAAGCACCGGCUAACUUCGUG
rnacentral:rRNA from 1 species